UACGUAGGGGGCAAGCGUUGUCCGGAUUUAUUGGGCGUAAAGAGCGUGUAGGCGGCCAAACAGGUCAGCUGUGAAAACUCGAGGCUCAACCUCGAGACGUCGGUUGAAACCGUUUGGCUAGAGUCCGGAAGAGGAGAGUGGAAUUCCCGGUGUAGCGGUGAAAUGCGCAGAUAUCAGGAGGAACACCCGGUGGCGAAGGCGGGUCUCUGGGCCGAUACUGACGUGAGGAGCGAAAGCGUGGGGAGCGAACAGG
rnacentral:rRNA from 1 species